AUUGAACGCUGGCGGCAGGCCUAACACAUGCAAGUCGAGCGGAAGAAGGGAGCUUGCUCCUGGAUGCAGCGGCGGACGGGGGAGUAAUGCCUAGAAAUCUGCCUGGUCGCGGGGGAAAACGUCCGGAAACGGGCGCUAAUACCGCAUACGACCAGAGGGAGAAAGUGGGGGAUCUUCGGACCGCACGCUAUCAGAUGAGCCUAGGUCGGACUAGCUAGUUGGUGGGGUAAAGGGCUACCAAGGCGACGAUCCGUAACUGGGCUGAGGGGAUGAUCAGUCACCCUGGAACUGAGACACGGUCCCCACUCCUGCGGGAGGCAGCAGCGGGGACUAUUGCACGAGGGGCGAGUGCCUGAUCCAGCCAUGCCGCGUGUGUGAUGAAGGUCUUCGGAUUGUAAAGCACUUUAAGUUGGGGGGAAGGGCAGUAAGUUAAUCCCUUGCUGUUUUGACGUUACCGACAGAAUAAGCACCGGCUAACUUCGUG
rnacentral:rRNA from 1 species